rnacentral:rRNA from 1 species
AUUGAACGCUGGCGGCAGGCUUAACACAUGCAAGUCGAACGAGUGGCGGACGGGUGAGUAAUGCUUGGGAAUCUCGCUUAUGGAGGGGGAUAACUACGGGAAACUGUAGCUAAUACCGCGUACCAUAGGAUGAGCCCAAGUGGGAUUAGGUAGUUGGUGAGGUAAAGGCUCACCAAGCCGACGAUCUCUAGCUGGUCUGAGAGGAUGACCAGGCACACGGGGACUGAGACACGGCCCAGACUCCUACGGGAGGCAGCAGUGGGGAAUAUUGCGCAAUGGGGGCAACCUGACGCAGCCAUGCCGCGUGAAUGAAGAAGGCCUUCGGGUUGUAAAGUUCUUUCGGUAGCGAGGCGUUACCCGCAGAAGAAGCACCGGCGAACUCCGUGCCAGCAGCCGCGGUAAUAC